rnacentral:rRNA from 1 species
GACUGUAGGCUGCAACUCGCCUACACGAAGUUGGAAUUGCUAGUAAUCGUGGAUCAGCAUGCCACGGUGAAUACGUUCCCGGGUCUUGUACACACCGCCCGUCACACCAUGGGAGCUGGUAACACCCGAAGUCAGUAGUCUAACCGCAAGGAGGACGCUGCCGAAGGUGGGGAUUAGCGACCGGGGUGAAGUCGUAACAAGGUAAC